UACAGAGGGUGCGAGCGUUGUCCGGAAUCACUGGGCGUAAAGGGUUCGUAGGUGGCUCGCUAAGUCAGACGUGAAAUCCCUCAGCUUAACUGGGGAACUGCGUCUGAGACUGGCAAGCUUGAGUGCAGGAGAGGAACGCGGAAUUCCAGGUGUAGCGGUGAAAUGCGUAGAUAUCAAGAGGAACACCUGAGGUGAAGACGGGUUGCUGGGCUGACACUGACGCUGAGGCGCGAAAGCCAGGGGAGCAAACGGG
rnacentral:rRNA from 1 species